ensembl:snRNA Gm26128 predicted gene, 26128
GUGCUCGCUUCGGCGGCAGCACAUAUACUAAAAUUGGAACGAUACAGAGAAGAUUAGCAUGGCCCCUGUGCAAGGAUGACAGGCAAAUUCGUGAAGCGUUCCAUAUUUUU